rnacentral:tRNA from 1 species
UUCUGUUUAGCCAAGCAGUAAGGCAAUGGACUUUGACUCCAUUAUCAUAGGUGCAAUUCCUAUAACAGAAGCCA